rnacentral:rRNA from 1 species
UACGGAGGAUCCGAGCGUUAUCCGGAUUUAUUGGGUUUAAAGGGAGCGUAGGUGGAUUGUUAAGUCAGUUGUGAAAGCUUGCGGCUCAACCGUAAAAUUGCAGUUGAAACUGGCAGUCUUGAGUACAGUAGAGGUGGGCGGAAUUCGUGGUGUAGCGGUGAAAUGCUUAGAUAUCACGAAGAACUCCGAUUGCGAAGGCAGCUCACUGGACUGCAACUGACACUGAGGCUCGAAAGUGUGGGUAUCAAACAGG